GUGAGUAAGAGCUACAGUUGGAGAAAGUAGAAGCAUAUUGGAGCAUGCAACGCAAACAAAUCUAAGGUAACAGGUUAUCUCCGUGUUCGAAUUCAAGAACGCCAAAUUCAACAUUGCAGUUCACUUCAUUCUUAGAAUGCCAACGUUUUGUGAACAUUGCAGUUCACUUCAAGACGAGGGACAAUCUAAUACUGAGCUGUUUCUCCGGUAACCAUUAUGGUAGAUUCUGCAUUUGCUACUAAGACAAAAACAUCUGCAUCCAAGCAAUGCUUAUC